CUCGUAGGUGCCAACUAAGUCAGACGUGAAAUCCCUCGGCUUAACCGGGGAACUGCGUCUGAUACUGGAUGGCUUGAGGUUGGGAGAGGGAUGCGGAAUUCCAGGUGUAGCGGUGAAAUGCGUAGAUAUCUGGAGGAACACCGGUGGCGAAGGCGGCAUCCUGGACCAAUUCUGACGCUGAGGAGCGAAAGCCAGGGGAGCAAACG
rnacentral:rRNA from 1 species